UUCUCCUCCCCUCCCCCCGCCUCGCCCCAGUCCCUUCGCAGACGCGGGCCUUCUCGUGGACGGCCCAGGGACUAGUCGCCAUUCGCGACUGUAGCGUUGACUGCCCCUCCCCACCCACUCGGGGAGCUGGGGAGGGCCCCGGCAGCGAUAGGGACCCGGGUUGUGACGCGGCCUCUCCCCGAGCGUCCCCCAGGGCCGGCGGCGCUGCCUUCUCGGCCCUCCUCGGACUCGGGCUGGGGCGGGAUCUUGCAGGGCUGGUCUCGGGAGCGGGGUCUCUGGCCCCCGCGUCUCCGGGUCCGCUGGGGACUUGAGCGGGGGCCGUGAACAUCCUUUGUGCCCCACUUCCCCUCCUCCCAGCCUGGGCGUGGGGGCGGGGGGACCGCAUGGAUGCGGUUCCUCUUUCUCUCCCUGGUGUCUGGGCGGCGCCUUUCCCAUUCACUCAUCAGGUCUCCUGGUUUUCUAACCCCCCCCCCCCCCGAUAUUCCCCAUUGCCUCUCCUGACAGAUCCUUUAGAACCUCCACAGAAAAAACGUAGGCUCUCCUGAAAACCUGGGCUCAAUGGUGCAAAAUCGAAACCUUGCUGCUCUCACGUUUUUGUUAACAAAAGGCUCCUCUUUCUCUAUACCCCAAAGCACGUCCUCUUGCGGGGAACGUAUUUCUCGCUAGCGUUUUCAUUGAUCGUUCUCGACAUGUCAUCUCCGUUUUUUCCUAACGUGUUUUGUAUUGAAAAGGUUUCACAGGAAAGUGAGUGACCUCGCACCUAUAUCCAUAGCAACCCAGUGAUGUCACACACAAUGACACAGAGGCUGCAAUGCACCUAAGGGCUGGUAGGGAGUAUGCAAAUGGCAUUUGUCCAAGGUAAUGCAGAAAUUAGCAGAUAAGCAGGUGGAAUUGAGGACUUCAUCUUAUCCGCCAGAUAAGAAUUGGUCCAGAAAAUAAGAAUAUCAUUUACCUUUAGGCAUGCAGAGCAGUGACCUCUAGAUAUGCCAAUUCAUUUUCCAAUUUCUAGUUUACCCACAAAAGUUUAUAAGCUACAUUUGUAUUUUUAAACAUUUGUCUCAUUGUUAAAAUUGGACAAUAAUGGAAUAAAGAUAGAAAUUUUAAACAAGAAUAUGUCUUAAUCAUAGUGCUGGGCUGGGCUGUAUACUUGGGUUUUUUGCAGAUUAUUAACUUGGCAGGUGUUAAUAAAAACCUUAAAAAACUCUUGACUUCCUACUGGGUCGUUUUCAGUAAUGUUAGAGAGUGAGAACUGGUUACAAAACACAAGGCAAAAGUUCUCUUGUGCCUCUGGUCCUUGUCAGUAUGGAGGAAAGGGCAGUUGUAAAAUAAAGCAGACCUUUCUUCAAACCCACUUAUGAGGAAGUGUGCUUACCUCUCCGACCCUCAUUUUCCUCAUCUGUGAAAUAGGUCAAUAUCCCCUUGAAAAAGGUGUGAGGAUUAAGAAAUUAGUAGGUGUUCGAAAAUAGUAACUACUUCUAAAACUUUGAUUCUUCCCCUGUUUAUGAGAAUCAUCUCCUCAUGGAGAAUUUGGGAAAGACAGAAAGAUACAGAGAAAAAUACUCUGUCCUGUCACUCAAAUGAGCGUUCUUCUAAGGCUGAAAUCAUCCUAAUGAUAGAGGGAUUAAGGCUAUUUGCAUUUAAUGAAAUUAUCCUAGUAAUAAUGUCACUGGGGCCUGUGUGGAGGAAUAAAUUGUGUGUGGGUGACGUAACACAAUAGGAAUGAAAAUCAGCAUGCAAUAUUUUGAAAAGGAAGAAAGAGGGAAGUUUAGUGUUGGGUUUUUUCCUUAAGUUAUUAUUUUUUGUGUUAGUAAUCCCUAUGCCCAGUGUGGGGCUCGAACUCAGGACCCCAAGAGCAAGAAUCACACGCUUCCAAAUGAGACAGCCAGUUUGUUUGUUUGUUUGUUUAUUUAUUUAUUUAUUUAUUUAUUUAUUUAUUACUGUAUGUUUUUGAGAGAGGGAGAGACAGCCUGCAAGUGGGGGAGGGGGAGAGAGAGAGAUAGAGAGAUAGAUAGAUAGAUAGAUCUGAAUCAGGCUCCAGGCUCUGAGCUGUCAGCACAGAGCCCGACGCAGGGCUUGAACUCAUAAACUAUGAGAUCAUGCAUGACCUGAGCCGAAGUCGGAUGCUUAACCAGCUGAGCCACCCGGGCACCUCAAGGUUUAAUUUUUAAGAGAAGUGUGUAGUCUUCCAUUUAAGGGGAGAGGGAACACCUAGAUGUUUCUUGUUAGAUGGUUCUGUCCUGUCCUUUGGAUUCUAAUAGCCUCUGAAGAGAAGUUAAUAAUCUAAGUAGGCUACUAGUAUUCGCCUCCGGAGGGAGAAAAGCUUCUGGGCUCCUCUUGUUGAAGUGACCCGAUUGGGGGGUUUGCUUGCAAAAGGCCUUCUUAAUUCUAUUAAAAAAAAAAAAAAAAAAAAAAAAGUCUUGCUGGAAUCAAUAUAGUUGAAAAUUCUUCCUAUCUUAAAUAUUGUGUUUUUCCUACUAGCCCUUCCAGGAGGGGCCAGAUCAAUAGCCAUUAUCACUAAUGGAGUAAUGACACCUCUGUAGACUUCAGAGGUGGAGUUCUGCCAGCCAUUAUUCUAAGUCAUGUGGUUUCAAUUGUUCUCUUCUUUGGGGUGGGAAGGAUACAGAUAACAGUUGGCUUUUUAUGUAGUAGUCUUUGCAGUAACUGAAAUGACGAUUAAGUGCCUUUUCUAAUUAUUAAAAAAAAAAAAAAAAAAAAAAAGCAACCUCCCAUGGAUCUUUUGAAUUCUAUCCAGAUAAAAGGUGCUGCUAAACGUGUAUUCUUGUUAACAGAGCUUUGUGUUAACAGCAGACCGUGGGGGAGUUUCAUCCCCUAGUAUUGGCAGGAAGCCUUAUUUGUUAAGCCUAACUCCUAAUCGUUAAGAAGAAAAAAUAAUUUUGUUUUUAUUGAGGUAAAAGUCAACGUAACAUGCAGCAAACCGUUUUCAAGCGUACGGUUCAGUAACAUUUUGCACAUUUGCAAUGUUGUGCAACCAUCCCCUCUAGCUAAAAAACUGGGAGAAUGCCGUUUCUAAAAAGGAUGAUGGCUUGGCUAUAACUGGCUGGAUUUCAAAACAUUACUGAUUCAGGAAUGUGUCAAUAAUGAAGUAACCACAGCAGCUUACAGCCACUGGUAAUCGGGAUCCUUCUCUUUGUUUUCUAACAUCUGGACCUUUUUGGCAUAAAUUGAAAGGAAAAGAGACUUGUCUCAACUAGAUUAAGAUUUCCAUCGAAGUUCCAGAGCUUAAAAACCAUAUGAUGGUCCCCCAAAUAAGUAACAAUGUAUCUGAAAUCGGAACAAACUAUUAAUCAUUUGGAGAUUAUGGAAAUUUUGCUGGGUUCGUACUAGGACUCAUUUUCCACUCCAGUGCUGACUUCGUUGUAAGUGAUUUCUCUGCUGUGUGGCAGCAGUCCCCUAAUGAGCACCGCACGGCACCCUAAUGAGCACCGCCCAGUGCUGAGAGGGUGAGCUGUUCAAGCACGGAUGCUACACUGAUAGUCCCGUGUAUAUGAUGUCACACACAUCGUUUGGGGGCUUCUGAGGCUGCCAGGAGCUUCUCCCUCCCAUAAUCACCAGCCUUAACCCUUUUAUCUGGCAGGGCAUCUGACUGUUUCUGUAUUGCUAUCAGAUUCCGUGGGAUGUGGGAGAAAGAGAGCACAGGCCAUCUUAGGUACUUAAUAGUCAAAGGAGGAAAAAAAUUACACAUAAACCACCGUCUUUUGUUCGUUUGAGUAAGCUCUGUGCCCAACGUGGGGCCUGAACUCAGGACCCUGCAAUCAGGAGUCACAUGUGCUACCCACUGAGCCAGUCAGGCGCCCAUCUUUUGUCUUAUUUUCUAAGUUCUAUUAGUGCUUAACCAGAUAUUUAAGGUUAUAAUCAGAGGAUGCUAUGUUUGCUGCCUUUGUAGGUUGUGAAGGCUGCCAAUAUCAUCUGCCUUUUGGCCUUGCCUUUCAUAAUCCCUUUCCUCUUCUCCCCAAAUUCUGUUUUAGGUAUGAGCUGUUGAGUUUGGUUCACUACCACCACAUCAUCCUACUUUUUAAAUUGGGCACUUGUAGAGAUCCUUGAGUUUUGUUUUUUCUAAUUUAUAAAUUUGAAUAGUGCACAAAACCGUUCUGUGAGAAAUGAUCAGUAGAAGUUCCCAAAGGAGAGCUUUAGUUUAAAGGUAAACGGUUAAAUAAUUGGUUUGGUCCCAUGAUCUUGCAGCAACAAUAAAAAUUACGUCUUAAGGACUUGGCAUGAGUCUUUUGUUUCUUUUCUUUUUAAAGAACUGGCGAAGUCUAAGCUAAAUUUUCAUCAGCAUUUCACCUGUAAGGGUGUGUCCUACAGAGGGAGACUUUUCCUUGCAUAAGUUGAAUACUGUUAAUGUGCUGCGUAACGUUAAUUCUGGUUGUGACUAGGUAAAUGGAAAUGAGAGUGUUCUCACAUACACAGAUUUUUUUUUUUUCCCUUCUAAGUUUUUACUUAAGUGAUCUCAUGACCCCGAGAUCAGGAGUUGUGUGCUGUUCCGACUGAGCCAGCCAGGCACCCCACAUACAGAAAUUUUUAAACAUGAGGUUUAGAAAAUAAAUUUCCAAAGAAACUCCUCGGUCUUAUCCUCCUAAUCUUUGGAGUAAUACCGUAUUUUUGGAGAGAUGGAUGAAAGCUGAACUGAGUAGGACCCAGGUGUAGUGUCAGCUUUCUCCUCUUAAUUCUGUUACUAGAACGGGGGUGUCAGAGCUGGGAAUAGGACAGUGACAGCAGUGGGCAGCUGCACAUGUAAUGACAGGAGCUUAAGAGGAAUCCCUUAGCCGCCCUCCCCCACAGCCAAGUGUGUAGGGCAGCUGUGGCGGUGGAGAGAAGGGUAAGAGGUAAUCAGAGGAAGGCUUUCAUUUUUAUUUAUUUUAAUGUUUGUUUACUUUGAGAGAGACACAGAGUGAGCGGGGGAGGGGCAGAGAGAAGGACACAGAAUCCCAAGCAGGCUCUGCACGCUGUCAGUGCAGAGCCAGACUCAGGGCUCAAUCCCAUAAACUGAGAUCAUGACCUGAGCCAAAACCAAGCUUGGACGCCACCCAGGCGCCCCAAGAGGAAGGCUUUUUUUUUUUAAAGACGCAGGUUUGUUUUGAGAUAAAUCAUUGAAAUGUCCAACACCUGAGCUCCCAUACUUUCAUAACCUGGAUCUAGGAAACCGUGGUCUCUGGUGCCAGUACUUUAAGGAUGUGGAAAUAAACUUUCUUUUGCCUGAAUUGUUCCAGUUCCGGACCCUUCAGUUCAAUACAGCGCUCCUUUUGUAGCUAACAAGAACUAGCAAAUGAGUAUGUGUGUGCCCUGGUGGCCCAGCAUGGAUGGUAGCCUUGCAGGUAAUCCCAUGCCCCCUGCCAGUGCAGUUCUGCUUGAGCUGGACAGGCUGGGUGGGAUAGAAGCGAUUGCCAAAUGAUGCCCCACUCUUCACAUACGACCCAUAUCUAGUCUUUGUAACUACAUCUGUGUAAUAGAAAUAGACGUUAGACACUAAAUUUUUUCUACUAAGUCGAAGAUGACCCAGUCCAGAAGGGCAAGGAGAAUUCAUAGGAUAGGCUCAGAAAAGAGCAUCCUGAAGCAAGGAAAAGCUAGUUGGGAACAAGUGGGUAGUAGAGAAGGAAUAUUCCUUUUUUUUUUUUUUAGUUUUUUAGUUUUUUAAAUUUUUUAGAAAAGGUUUUAUUUUUAAGUAAUCUCUACGCCCAGCGUGGGUGCUCAAACUUGCAACCCUCAGAUCAAGAGUCACAUGCUGCACCAACUGAGCUUGCCAGGUGCCCCUAAUUUUUUUCUUUAAGUUUAUUUAUUUAUCUUGAGAGAGAGAGAGAGAGAGGGAGGGUGGGUGGGUGGGGAGUGGGGGACAGAGCAUCCGAAGCAGGCCCUGUGCUGACAGCAGAGAGCCCGAUGCCGGGCUUGAACUCACAAACUCUGAAAUGGUGACCUGAGCAAAAGUUCAGACGCUUAGCCGCCACCCAAGCGCCCCUAAUUUGUUUUCUUUUGGGAAGGAAUAUGGUAGAGUAUCUUGAAUUUGGGGAUGCUGUUAAUUAAUGUCCUUUUUUUUUCUUUUUUUAAUUCUUGAAAAUUUAGUUAUUUUGAGAGAGAGAGAGCGCUCAAGUUGGGGAGGGGCACCGACGGCUAGCACAGAGUCUAGUGCCAGGCUUGAACUCGUGAAACUGAGAUCAUGUCAUGACCUGAGCCGAAAUCUAGAGUUUGAUGCAUAACCAACUGAGCCACCCACCUACGGGCCCUGGGACGAUGUUAAUUUCUGAGGGAGUCUUUGGAGUCAUCGUUGGGAGUGAUGACUGAUGACAAAAACGUCUGACCUUUAUGAUGCUAGAAAAUUUGGGGGAAAAAGAUAGUUAUCCCCAUAAUUCCCUAUGCAGGGGUAUAUGUCCAUCAUGUCUUUUUUUUCCUUGGGGUUUAGGCUUGCUUUUGUACCGUGCCUUCUCCCUUGACACUCAUUAUUUCAAGGAGUUUUUUUUUUCUGUUACUAGUAUGUUCAAUGGCUGAAUAAGUCUGUGGAUGUGUCAUAAUUUAAUUAUAUUUUUAUUUAACAUCCAUGCUCUUUGCAAAUUUGUGGUAAUAUUGCCAUGAAUAUCUUUGUGGCUAAAGCUUCGACCACAGUUUGUAUAUUAGGACCGAGACCCAAAAGUGGAAUUUUUGAAAGCAUAAAAUUUUAAGCCUUUUGAAAUCAUCAGUAGCACUGCGUGUUC